rnacentral:rRNA from 1 species
GAUGAACGCUAGCUACAGGCUUAACACAUGCAAGUCGCGGGGCAGCAUGGGGGUUGCUUGCAACUCCCGAUGGCGACCGGCGCACGGGUGAGUAACGCGUAUCCAACCUGCCCUUCACCACGGGAUAACCCGGCGAAAGUCGGACUAAUACCGUAUGUUGUCCAUUGACGGCAUCCGAUUUGGACGAAAGGCUUUGCGGUGAAGGAUGGGGAUGCGUCCGAUUAGCCAGACGGCGGGGUAACGGCCCACCGUGGCGACGAUCGGUAGGGGUUCUGAGAGGAAGGUCCCCCACACUGGAACUGAGACACGGUCCAGACUCCUACGGGAGGCAGCAGUGAGGAAUAUUGGUCAAUGGGCGUAAGCCUGAACCAGCCAAGUAGCGUGCAGGAUGACGGCCCUAUGGGUUGUAAACUGCUUUUAUGCGGGGAUAAAGUGGCCCACGUGUGGGC